rnacentral:tRNA from 6 species
GGCGGAUGUACCCAAGUGGAUCAAGGCAGU